CCCUACGGGGGGCAGCAGUGAGGAAUAUUGGUCAAUGGGCGCGAGCCUGAACCAGCCAAGUCGCGUGAGGGAAGACGGUCCUAUGGAUUGUAAACCUCUUUUGUCGGGGAGCAAAAGACGCCACGUGUGGCGUUCCGAGAGUACCCGAAGAAAAAGCAUCGGCUAACUCCGUGCCAGCAGCCGCGGUAAUACGGAGGAUGCGAGCGUUAUCCGGAUUUAUUGGGUUUAAAGGGUGCGCAGGCGGAAGAUCAAGUCAGCGGUAAAAUUGAGAGGCUCAACCUGUUCGAGCCGUUGAAACUGGGUUU
rnacentral:rRNA from 1 species